GACGAACCGUGCGAACGUUGUUCGGAAUCACUGGGCUUAAAGGGCGCGUAGGCGGCCCGCAUAGUCAGGGGUGAAAUCUUUCGGCUUAACCGGAAAAGGGCCUCUGAUACUGGCGGGCUGGAGGGAGGUAGGGGCAGAUGGAACUUCCGGUGGAGCGGUGAAAUGUGUUGAUAUCGGAAGGAACGCCGGUGGCGAAAGCGAUCUGCUGGACCUCUACUGACGCUGAGGCGCGAAAGCCAGGGGAGCGAAC
rnacentral:rRNA from 1 species